GCGGAAGGACACGUCCUGUCAUAGAAGGUUGAAGAAAGCUGUGCUUGGCAUGGGAUGCAUGAGAAGGUUAUCAUCAGUAUUGUGAGAGCCACGAAAGUAAAAGAUAAGCGAGAAGCCAUUUUUCUUUUCUCCUUAAUCCUAGUAUAGCAGAAAUUUGCUAUUAUACAAAAUGCUCUAUGCAACUGGUAGAAAAAUAUCAGAGCAAAGCUAUUGGAGUGGUA
rnacentral:misc_RNA from 1 species